AACAAACGCUGGCGGCGUGCCUAAUACAUGCAAGUCGAACGGGGAAAGCUUUCGGGUGAGUACUAGUGGCGCACGGGUGAGUAAUACGUAGAUAAUCUGCCUUCGCGUUGGGGAUAACUAGUCGAAAGAUUAGCUAAUACCGAAUAAGACCACAAGAACUGAGGUUCUAGGGGUUAAAGGUUUUUCGCUUGAAGAUGAGUCUGCGCGAGAUUAGCUAGUUGGUGUGGUAACGGCUCACCAAGGCAACGAUCUCUAACUGGUCUGAGAGGGUGAUCAGUCACACUGGAACUGAGACACGGUCCAGACUCCUACGUGAGGCAGCAGUAGGGAAUAUUGCACAAUGGGGGAAACCCUGAUGCAGCGACGCCGCAUGAGUGAUGAAGGCCUUCGGGUCGUAAAGCUCUGUCGCAAGGGAAUAAUAAACUGAAUGUACCUUGCAAGAAAGGAUCGGCUAACUUCGUGCCAGCAGCCGCCGUAA
rnacentral:rRNA from 1 species